UGCGCAGGCGGGUUUGUAAGUCAGUGGUGAAAUCCUGCCGCUUAACGGUAGAAUUGCCAUUGAUACUGCGAAUCUUGAGUAUGGCUGAGGUAGGCGGAAUGUGUAGUGUAGCGGUGAAAUGCAUAGAUAUUACACAGAACUCCGAUUGCGAAGGCAGCUUACUAAGCCAUAACUGACGCUGAGGCACGAAAGCGUGGGGAGCGAACAGGAUUAGAUACCCUGGUAGUCC
rnacentral:rRNA from 1 species